CCUACGGGAGGCUGCAGUGAGGAAUAUUGGUCAAUGGACGAGAGUCUGAACCAGCCAAGUAGCGUGAAGGAUGACUGCCCUAUGGGUUGUAAACUUCUUUUAUAUGGGAAUAAAACAGGGUAUGCAUACCCUCUUGUAUGUACCAUAUGAAUAAGGAUCGGCUAACUCCGUGCCAGCAGCCGCGGUAAUACGGAGGAUCCGAGCGUUAUCCGGAUUUAUUGGGUUUAAAGGGAGCGUAGGUGGAUUGUUAAGUCAGUUGUGAAAGUUUGCGGCUCAACCGUAAAAUUGCAGUUGAAACUGGCGGUCUUGAGUACGGUAGAGGUAGGCGGAAUUCGUGGUGUAGCGGUGAAAUGCUUAGAUAUCACGAAGAACUCCGAUUGCGAAGGCAGCUUACUGGGCUGCAACUGACGCUGAUGCUCGAAAGCGUGGGGAUCAAACAGGAUUAGAUACCCCGGUAGUC
rnacentral:rRNA from 1 species